rnacentral:rRNA from 1 species
AUGCAUCACCGAUGCGGGUUUUCUCAGAUGAAAUAUUUACAGUUGAGGUUGGUCUAUGUUGAAGAAUUCGAUACCUUAUCUCUGAUCUCUUUUCUGAGGUCUGCUCCUUUCAUUGAGAAGUUAGAGCUGCACUUUUGUUUCCCUGGUUACGUGCGUUUGGCACAAGAACUUGAACCUAUCAGGAAGCUACCGGAGCAUCUGUUCAACAAUUUGAAGAGUUUGCAUGUUACAGGAUUUAAAGCAUGCAUUGGCCAAAUUGAGUUCCUUUCGCACAUGGUGGAAAAUGCCCCCGCAUUGGAGGUUUUAAGUAUAGAUAAUUCAGACAAAUAUCCCCUAGAAGGGCGUGAAAAGAAGGCAAAAACUGUCGUUGACUUGGUCCAUAGAAUUGUUAGAAGGUAUCUUGAAGGAAAGAUUUCACCCAAGUGCACCUUAAUAUUACUUUAG